GAUGAACGCUGGCGGCGUGCCUAAUACAUGCAAGUCGAGCGAACAGACGAGGAGCUUGCUCCUCUGACGUUAGCGGCGGACGGGUGAGUAACACGUGGAUAACCUACCUAUAAGACUGGGAUAACUUCGGGAAACCGGAGCUAAUACCGGAUAAUAUAUUCAACCGCAUGGUUCAAUAGUGAAAGACGGUUUUGCUGUCACUUAUAGAUGGAUCCGCGCCGCAUUAGCUAGUUGGUAAGGUAACGGCUUACCAAGGCAACGAUGCGUAGCCGACCUGAGAGGGUGAUCGGCCACACUGGAACUGAGACACGGUCCAGACUCCUACGGGAGGCAGCAGUAGGGAAUCUUCCGCAAUGGGCGAAAGCCUGACGGAGCAACGCCGCGUGAGUGAUGAAGGUCUUCGGAUCGUAAAACUCUGUUAUUAGGGAAGAACAAAUGUGUAAGUAACUAUGCACGUCUUGACGGUACCUAAUCAGAAAGCCACGGCUAACUACGUG
rnacentral:rRNA from 1 species